CGCACCUUGCGCCCUUUGGCAUUCCGAAGGGCACGCCUGUUUGAGUGUCAUGUUCAUCUCAAUCCAACAGCUUUGCGGCUUGCUUGGAUUGGAUUUGGGAGUCUGCUGGCCCUUCUCGGGUCGGCUCUCCUUGAAUGCAUGAGUGAGUGUCUGGCUCGCGUUGCUAGUGUGAUAGUUUUUCAUCAUUGGCGGCGCUUGCCUAAUGGGCUCGCUUUCGAACCGUCUUCUCAACGGAGACAAUCUUUGACAUAUUUGACCUCAAAUCAGGUGGGACUACCCGCUGAACUUAA
rnacentral:misc_RNA from 1 species